GGGUCCUAACAUGCAAGUCGAGCGACAGAUGGGAGCUUGCUCCCUGAAGUCAGCGGCGGACGGGUGAGUAACACGUGGGCAACCUGCCUGUAAGACUGGGAUAACUCCGGGAAACCGGGGCUAAUACCGGAUAAUUCUUUCCCUCACAUGAGGGAAAGCUGAAAGAUGGUUUCGGCUAUCACUUACAGAUGGGCCCGCGGCGCAUUACUAGUUGGUGAGGUAACGGCUCACCAAGGCAACGAUGCGUAGCCGACCUGAAGGGUGAUCGGCCACCUGGGACUGAACACGGCCCAGACUCCUACGGGAGGCAGCAGUAGGGAAUCUUCCGCAAUGGACGAAAGUCUGACGGAGCAACGCCGCGUGAGUGAUGAAGGUUUUCGGAUCGUAAAACUCUGUUGUUAGGGAAGAACAAGUACCGGAGUAACUGCCGGUACCUUGACGGUACCUAACCAGAAAGCCACGGCUAACUACGUGCCAGCAGCCGCGGUAAUACUAGGUGGCAAGCGUUGUCCGGAAUUAUUGGGCGUAAAGCGCGCGCAGGCGGUUCCUUAAGUCGAUGUGAAAGCCCCCGGCUCAACCGGGGAGGGUCAUUGGAAACUGGGGAACUUGAGUGCAGAAGAAAGAGUGGAAUUCCACGUGUAGCGGUGAAAUGCGUAGAGAUGUGGAGGAACACCAGUGGCGAAGGCGACUCUUUGGUCUGUAACUGACGCUGAGGCGCGAAAGCUGGGGAGCAAACAGGAUUAGAUACCCUGGUAGUCCACGCCGUAAACGAUGAGUGCUAAGUGUUAGAGGGUUUCCGCCCCUUUAGUGCUGCAGCAACGCAUUAAGCACUCCGCCUGGGGGAGUACGGCCGCAAGGCUGAAACUCAAGGAAUUGACGGGGGCCCGCACAAGCGGUGGAGCAUGUGGGUUUAUCGAAGCAACGCGAACCCUUACCAGCUUGACAUCUCUUGACACCAAAUAGGCGUUCCCUUCGGGGACAGAUGACAGGGGUGCAUGUGUCGUCAGCUCGUGUCGAGAUGUUUGGGUAGUCCCGCAACGACACCGAUCUUGCAGCAUUCAGUUGGCCUUAGGACUGCGUGACAACUAGAGGUGGGAUGACGUCUCAUGGCCAAACCUGUACCGAUCGUCUGGCGAGC
rnacentral:rRNA from 2 species